CAGUCGCCGCGGGAAUACGUAGGGUGCGAGCGUUAAUCGGAAUUACUGGGCGUAAAGCGUGCGCAGGCGGCUUUGCAAGACAGAUGUGAAAUCCCCGGGCUCAACCUGGGAACUGCAUUUGUGACUGCAAGGCCAGAGUACGGUAGAGGGGGAUGGAAUUCCGCGUGUAGCAGUGAAAUGCGUAGAUAUGCGGAGGAACACCAAUGGCGAAGGCAAUCCCCUGGACCUGUACUGACGCUCAUGCACGAAAGCGUGGGGAGCAAACAGGAUUAGAUACCCCGGUAGUCCCUGUCUCUUAUCC
rnacentral:rRNA from 1 species